GGGGCAGCGAAGCAGGACUCGGCAUCGCGGGAGCCCUGGGCUGAAGAUGCGGGAGGCCUGCGGGGGAGAAGCGAGGGAGGCGCUUGGGGCUCGGGACUUACACCCAAGACGCACCCUGCCCCUGACUGACUUCGGAAAGGGAAGCCUCUCCAGCUAGUGAAACAUCUGAGGAGAUUUGUUAUGAGGAAGAAAGGAAAGGCAUUCAAAUCCCCUAUUGUAUGGACACUGUGGGCGUACGGUCUCAUCCUCACUAGGGGAUUCAACUCAGGUCCUUGCACUUGCGAGGCAGGCGGUGGAACCACUGAGCUAAAUCCCCCGGAUGACCGGGUAACUUCUGAGGAGAAAGGACGAGGAGAUGCAUCCUCCCGAGGCCCACACUGUGUUCAACCUGAAUGUGCUAAUUAUGGAGCACUAAGAAUCAUGAUGCCUGUGUUAGUCCUGUCGAUGGUCGUGGUCUUGUAGGACGAACGCUGGAUUUAGAAGCAGUUGUGUAAGUUAUUUCGGCCAGCACGAUGGCAGGUGCCAGUGAGCAAAAGGAAACAAACUCAAAUGGUGGGAGCAGUAUCGCCAGCCUCGCCAGGAGUGUUCCUGUAAGCACCACCAUGGAACUCUUGCAUGCCAAGCAAGGCUAAAUACAGCUUCUCUCUCGACACUGCACAAUUCGUCACAGAGCUAAUUGGGAGGGGAGCUUCAGGACUUCUAACGUAGGCUUCUUUUCAAUAGGGAAAAAGACUGGCCUGAAGAGACCCUAAGCAUCUUGCUACCUGUCUUCUCUCCUUGAAGGAUCUUCUUAGACCCAAAGGGACAUGACUUUUCAUGAGGUUGGGAGAGAAGCUAGUGAUGCAUUAAACCCACACUUUUCCUGCUGCCUCUGCUGCUGCCGCCACUGCUUCUGCCAACACAUACGCUCUUCACCCCCAUGGAGGGGCCCCGCUGCCAGUUCUCCAUCCACUGCCACCAGCAGCAGGAGCCAUGCCUCCACUGCACCUGCUUUAUGUGGCUCUCAGCAACAUCCACCUGUCUGUAAACAACUC
rnacentral:lncRNA from 1 species